rnacentral:rRNA from 1 species
ACGAACGCUGGCGGCGUGCUUAACACAUGCAAGUCGAGCGGAAAGGCUCCUUCGGGGGUACUCGAGCGGCGAACGGGUGAGUAACACGUGAGUAAUCUGCCCCCUACUUUGGGAUAACCCCCGGAAACGGGUGCUAAUACCGGAUACGACCACUCCAGGCAUCUGGUGGUGGUGGAAAGUUUUUUCGGUGGGGGAUGUGCUCGCGGCCUAUCAGCUUGUUGGUGGGGUAAUGGCCUACCAAGGCUUUGACGGGUAGCCGGCCUGAGAGGGUGACCGGCCACACUGGGACUGAGACACGGCCCAGACUCCUACGGGAGGCAGCAGUGGGGAAUAUUGGACAAUGGGCGGAAGCCUGAUCCAGCAACGCCGCGUGAGGGAUGACGGCCUUCGGGUUGUAAACCUCUUUCAGCACCGACGAAGCGCAAGUGACGGUAGGUGCAGAAGAAGGACCGGCCAACUACGU